GAUGAACGCUGGCGGCGUGCCUAAUACAUGCAAGUCGAGCGAACGGACGAGAAGCUUGCUUCUCUGAUGUUAGCGGCGGACGGGUGAGUAACACGUGGAUAACCUACCUAUAAGACUGGGAUAACUUCGGGAAACCGGAGCUAAUACCGGAUAAUAUUUUGAACCGCAUGGUUCAAAAGUAAAAGACGGUCUUGCUGUCACUUAUAGAUGGAUCCGCGCUGCAUUAGCUAGUUGGUAAGGUAACGGCUUACCAAGGCAACGAUGCAUAGCCGACCUGAGAGGGUGAUCGGCCACACUGGAACUGAGACACGGUCCAGACUACUACGGGAGGCAGCAGUAGGGAAUCUUCCGCAAUGGGCGAAAGCCUGACGGAGCAACGCCGCGUGAGUGAUGAAGGUCUUCGGAUCGUAAAACUCUGUUAUUAGGGAAGAACAUAUGUGUAAGUAACUGUGCACAUCUUGACGGUGCCUAAUCAGAAAGCCACGGCUAACUACGUG
rnacentral:rRNA from 1 species